ACGAACGCUGGCGGCGUGCCUAAUACAUGCAAGUUGAGCGCUGAAGGUUGGUACUUGUACCAACUGGAUGAGCAGCGAACGGGUGAGUAACGCGUGGGGAAUCUGCCUUUGAGCGGGGGACAACAUUUGGAAACGAAUGCUAAUACCGCAUAAAAACUUUAAACACAAGUUUUAAGUUUGAAAGAUGCAAUUGCAUCACUCAAAGAUGAUCCCGCGUUGUAUUAGCUAGUUGGUGAGGUAAAGGCUCACCAAGGCGAUGAUACAUAGCCGACCUGAGAGGGUGAUCGGCCACAUUGGGACUGAGACACGGCCCAAACUCCUACGGGAGGCAGCAGUAGGGAAUCUUCGGCAAUGGACGAAAGUCUGACCGAGCAACGCCGCGUGAGUGAAGAAGGUUUUCGGAUCGUAAAACUCUGUCGGUAGAGAAGAACGUUGGUGAGAGUGGAAAGCUCAUCAAGUGACGGUAACUACCCAGAAAGGGACGGCUAACUACGUG
rnacentral:rRNA from 1 species